UACGAAGGGGGCUAGCGUUGCUCGGAAUCACUGGGCGUAAAGCGCACGUAGGCGGCUUUAGUAGUAGGGUGAAAUCCUGGAGCUCAACUCCAGAACUGCCUUUGAUACUGGCACUUGAGUCCGGGAGAGGUGAGUGGAACUGCGAGUGUAGAGGUGAAAUUCGUAGAUAUUCGCAAAGAACACCAGUGGCGAAGGCGGCUCACUGGCCCGGUACUGACGCUGAGGUGCGAAAGCGUGGGGAGCAAACAGGGAU
rnacentral:rRNA from 1 species